rnacentral:misc_RNA from 1 species
GCAGAAGCUGAUGCUGAAUUUGAUAAUGCUCUCAAGGAGGCUAUCAAUGGUGUUCAAGAUGCAGUGACGGCAAUAAAUGACCAUUUGGAAGAAGUUAGGUAUGAGAUUGCAGCACUUGAAGACUAAAGGUGUAGUCGGUUGACUUUGCCUUUUAAGUUGUUAAAGGCACAAUGCUAUGAAAAGUCACCCCGUAAAUUCCAUGGCAAUCAAGAUAUUGUUCAUCAUAACGGUUUUAUUCGUAUAGGCAGCAAACAUUUUAUUGU